UCAUGGAUCAUACAUGAGUACCCUAGAUUAGUAGACAUUCUUGGAAUUGUUAUCAGGAACUGUUAAUUGGAACCACCCAAUGGAUCACAAGCUUUUCUCUUGUAUAAUCAGGCGAAUAAUGCAGAUCAACAUCACAGAAUGCAUCAUGGCAUGGAUUUCUCAUUGGAGCUGUCAUCUUGAACCAUAAUUUGCGGUAGAUGUGGUGGAAGUAAUGAAUUACUCAAAUAUUGCAUCUAUCCCAAACCAAUUUGUCAAACAGGGGUUUACCGUAAACUCUUGCUGGCUGAUAAUAUUGAUAACCACGGAUGAAUGAUAUUACACAAAGAAUGAUGAUGCAAGGGAGCGCAUCCAGUUUUGCUGAAGAUCGCCUCCACGCGGCUAACAUUGAACUUACCAUGUUGGAUUAGGCAAUGCUGCCACUCUUGUGUAGAUGCCCGAACAUGUAAAUUAUAUCUAAAUCCAUUAGUAGUAUAUCAAAACUCCAAGAUCCCCAGGGCCUGCAAUCUUUACGUUCACUGCUGGACAAUCUCAUCUAAAUCAAAGACAUCCCUGUUCAACUGUUUUACAUUUUAUUCUGCUGACACCUGUAAGAAGACUUACAUGGAUCUGAACAAAACUAGACAGAUGGAUAACCAUUCGCAACAUCAUAGC